GCGGUUGUGGUGUAGUUGGAGGUGCAUGCUGCCUUGCCAAGGCAGAGGCUUACGUCAGUUCGAUUCUGAUCAGCCGCU
rnacentral:tRNA from 1 species